AGUGAACGCUGGCGGUAGGCCUAACACAUGCAAGUCGAACGGCAGCACAGUAAGAGCUUGCUCUUACGGGUGGCGAGUGGCGGACGGGUGAGGAAUACAUCGGAAUCUACUUUUUCGUGGGGGAUAACGUAGGGAAACGUACGCUAAUACCGCAUACGACCUACUGGUGAAAGCAUGGGAUCUUCGGACCUUGCGCGAUUGAAUUAGCCGAUGUCGGAUUAGCUAGUUGGCGGGGUAAAGGCCCACCAAGGCGACGAUCCGUAGCUGGUCUGAGAGGAUGAUCAGCCACACUGGAACUGAGACACGGUCCAGACUCCUAAGGGAGGAAGCAGUGGGGAAUAUUGGACAAUGGGGGAAAGCCUGAUCCAGCAAUACCGCGUGGGUGAAGAAGGCCUUCGGGUUGUAAAGCCCUUUUGUUGGGAAAGAAAAGCAGCAGGUUAAUACCCGGCUGUUCUGACGGUACCCAAAGAAUAAGCACCGGCUAACUUCGUG
rnacentral:rRNA from 1 species